rnacentral:lncRNA from 1 species
AUUCUACUUGGAGAGCUUCACCGUGACACACGAGUGUUCCUUCCCACCCCAGACCUUUCUCGCUUCCCCUGGCGCAAACACCGGCAACUCUCCGGCGCGCUGGAUUAACAGACGCUCGCCCCUCUCAACUCCCCUAAGCGAGGUCGAAGCUCCUCCGCGCGUGCCGCGGCACCACUCCCGCCUAACCCACCCUCCGGCAACACUCGCCCACCAGCUCCCCAGUCCACCGGUCUAAGGAAGACGUGCGCGCGCCCCGCACCCGAGCCCCGGAGCUGGGGUUCUGCAGGGAGGGAAAGGCUGCUCCAGGGCUCCCUCCUCCAUCUCACUCCAGGCCGGCUCGCCGCCCACCCUGCCUGCGGAUCCCAGUACUCGCUGGGAGCCGGCCCUGCGCCUUCCUAUCAUGAAGACACCAUCCUCGCAUACCCAGCCCAGAACCCCAGCUACCCUCCACCCUGUAGACACCUCGCGGUUCCGCAGGAGGCGCCACGCCGCCCCUCCCCCACACCGCUCCCCCAGUUCUCGGGCCCCCACCAGAAAGUGUGCGCUACACGCCGCCUCGGCCAUCCUCCGGGACGUCCCCACUUGUCCGCGGGAGGUCAGGUCCAACAUGAAGGGGAAGGGGCGGCAAGGGGUACAGUGCGCGCCGGGAACGCCGUCCCGCGGAGUCCCCCAGUCAGAAGGAAGACGGAGCGCGGGGACCCGUGGGGGUGGGGGCCAAAGGCAAUACUCACCGGUUCGACAGUCGCCAUCUUAGAUCGAUCUGAUCGCACAACCGCUCCAGAAGGGGGGGUAAGAGGAAAAAAAUGAGAUUCAAACCGGAUUGGCCAGCUUCUGGCCACGUGACGGAUAUGUCCGUUUGGCCCUGGCGGCACCUGCGCAAGACUGCGGCUGCGUGAGUAACGAGAGGCUUCUGGGAAGUGGAGUCUCUCCCCCACCUUUUUUUUUUUUUUUUUUUUAAGGUAAAGAAAUUUUUUUUAAAAAGGACUGGUCACGUGGCCGAUGGGUAGGGUGCGCGGUUCUCAACGCGGCGGACACUCGCUUGCUGGAGGGUGGUUUCAGUCCUCUGCUCUUCCGCCUGGAUAGCUGCGGUCACACUUACUGCCAGGCAAGCCUACUGUGCCCUUUGUCGCCCUGUCCUCCCAUCUUCCCCGGAAGGUUGGGAACUGCAGGCUCAGCACACACAAUAAGGCUUCAUUUGCUUAGUUGAGGUCCCAGGACAAGUUGCCUGUGUGUUUAUUUAGUUUUCUUUUGAUCUCCCACCAUUUUCUCUUAGUUUCAAAAAGAGGCGGCGAUGCAGAGUCGUUUAGGCAAUCAACCCUCCCACGUCCCCUGGCUCAGCUAAUGCUGGUGGUCAUUCGUUGCCAUUUCUGCGAAAGGGGACGGACGGAACCGCCCGCAGUACCCGCUUGCCACCGGCUGGACGAGGGGGAGGGACGACAGCUUUUACUGUCCCAAAUCCUGAGAUUAAGACCUCAGGGCUAAAUCUUGCGUGGCGGUAAAAAUUAUUUGGAAGUUCUGUGCAACCGUUCCAAUAUUCCGCUUUUACGUGCACGGAAAUAGCCUAAGUCCAGAUGCCAGCCAGGGAAGCCACUCCGGGCCCCGCUGACUAAGCCCUGGACUGAUGGUCUGGAGUCUUUAGGCCGGGUCAACUAUGACUCUUGACGUUGACUCAUUCUCCUUAGGCGAGUGACUUAAUCGCUCGGCGUCUCAGCUUUUUUAUUUAUGAACCAAAGGUGAUGAUACACUUACCUCACAAGGGUGUGCUUCGUAAUGACUGUAACCGGCUUUGAAAAUGCAUCGGACUCUAGAAAUGAUUCAUAAUAAGCAACUGCGUGCCUUCCUAAAGAUCAAGUGCUUCUGCUUUUUUUUUUUAGCAAAGUUUAAAUUUUUUUCUGUUUACUUUGUUUGAUUAUGAUGUACACCAGUGUAGUUUUAAAUGUUCAGGACCAUUUUUUUUCCUUUACAACUGCAGCUGCCCUCAAUAGAGGCUUUAAUGUUCAUGAAAUUAUUGUUAUGCUCACAACAAUCACUGGCAAUCAGAAAUUUGUCCCCACACUGGCAUCCUACAUUUCCUUUCCCUCUAAGAUACUGUGCUGUCAUUUCUCAAGACCGUGUUUUUUGCACAGUUUGGCUACUAAUAACAACAAAUAGAGAUGAAGAAAUCUAGUAGACUCCUAAGGUUCUAAUGAAGAAGACACUGUCUCAUUACUAUUUCCCAUGCUUUUAAAUAAUGUUGACACCAGGAAAAGGAGUGUAUGCAGGCUGCCUGUGCCUGUCUGCUUAUAGUGUUAAUGAGGUCCAGAGCUGUGUCAUACCUAUUAUUGAGUACAUAAUGGAUGCUUGAGUUGACUAACACAUAAUUGAGGCUGUAUGAGAACUCAAAGCCAUUGCCUGUUCAUAUGUUUUGGUUUACCUGAAUAUCAGAAGUGAUUAAUGAAAGCUUUUGUCUAGUGGGCUUAGCUCUACUAGGUUUUAAAGUAGAUAGAAUUAACAGGCCAGGCGCAGUGGCCCACGCCUGUAAUCACAGCCCUUUGGGAGGCCAAGGCGGGCGGAUCACCUGAGGUCAGGAGUUCGAGACCAGCCUGACCAACAUGGUGAAACCCUGUCUCUACUAAAAAUACAAAAAUUAGCCAGGCAUAGUGGCACCUGCCUGUAGUCUCAGCUACUCAGGAGGCUGAGGCAGGAGAAUCACUUGAACCUGGGAGGUGGAGGUUGCAGUGAGCCAAGAUCCCGCCACUGCACUCCAGUCUGGGCGACACAGUGAGACUCCAUUUCCAAAAAAAAAAAAAAAAUGAUAAUAAACGGAUAAGUGGAUUUCUACUUACAGAGACUAUCUACUGUUACUUAGACUAUCCAAAAUAAUUCUGUUGACCGCGUUGUUAUUUUCUGCUGGUUAGAAGUGGUGUCAGGUUACCUUCUUUGAAGAGAAAAAGACAGCAUAGAUGUCCUAUUUUCCCCUUCCCCACCCUUCCCCACCCUUCCUCUCCCUUCCCUACCCUUCCCCUCCCUUCCCUUCCCUUCUCUUCCCCUCCCCUCCCCUGUCCUCCCCUCCCCUCCCUCCCCUCCCCUCCCAUUCUCUCUCUCUCUCUCUCUUCCUUCCUUCCUUCCUUCCUUCCUUCCUUCCUUCCUUUCUUUUUGUCUUUUCAGGGUGUUGCUCUGUUACCCAGGCUGGAGUGCAGUGGCAUGAUUAUGGCUCACUGCAGCCUUGACCUUCUGGGUUCAAGGGGUCCUCCCACCUUAGCUUCCCAAGUAGCUAGGACUACAGGCAUGGGCCACCAUGCCUAGCUAAUUUUUUUAUAUUUUGCAGAGACAGGAGCGUCUAGCUAUGUUCCCCAGGCUGGUCUCAAACUCCUGGGCUCAAGCGGUCCCCCUACCUGGGCCUCCCAAAGUGCUGAGAUUGCAGGCAUGAGCCACCAUUCCUGGCCAGAUGUCCUAUUUUCAUGAAGCUGUUAUAUAACAGCAAAAAAUCAAUGAGAUUGGCAAGAAAAUACCUAUAGGACUGAAAGCCAGUGAUGUUCUUAAAACUUUUUUUAAACAACAGUUUCCAUUUUUAUUAAAUUUUCUGUUAAUCAAAAAACUCGGGCCGGGCACGGUGGCUCAUGCCUGUAAUCCCAGCACUUUGGGAGGCCAAGACGGGCGGAUCACGAGGUCAGGAGAUCGAGACCAUCCUGGCUAACACGGUGAAACCCCGUCUCUACUAAAAAUACAAAAAUUAGCUGGGCAUGGUGGCAGGCGCCUGUAGUCCCAGCUACGCGGCAGGCUGAGGCAGGAGAAAGGAGUGAACCCAGGAGGUGGAGCUUGCAGUGAGCGGACAUCGCGCCACUGCACUCCCUCAGUCUCAAAAAAAAAAAAAAAAAAAAAACUCCCUCUUGUCAACCAAGACUCAUACUUUUACAAUACUUAUGGAUGCUCUAUUCUUUAUGGUUUAGUUUCUUUCCAUUUUUUACAUAGUUUUCAACAAUUUUUCUUUAUAAUUUUCAAGCACAGAGUUUCAGGAAAAUCUCCAUUUUUGUAUAUACUUUGUUGUGUGUGUUUUAUGACCAUUAAUGUGUCUUUGCCUAUUUGAGAUUCUACCAUUUCAAAGAUUUAACGAUUAGGUUUUUAUGUAUGUGUGUAUGUGGUUGUUUUGUUUUGUUUUUGCCAAUCCUAAAUAUAUAGAGCUGAAAUUUUAUGUUUUAUUUCUCUAUUUAUUCUCUAUUAUUCUUUAUUGCUCUUCAAAGGACUUGUAAUUCCAAGUUCAUUUACAGAACUGACCAGAAACCAUCCAACAAGUACUAAGUUAGUAAUGGGAACUAUGUAACCAGUGGAGGAUAUUUAAAGGACACAGGAAGUACAGGCACUUCCUUCCCCGACUGUAAAAUCUGGUUGGCGUACUAAGUCAUAGAAAUAUAAAUAGUUCAGUACCCAUAUAAAGAGGUGUGACUAAGAACCAAGAGGAUGCAGUUAACAAGCACCAUAACCAGCACACAUUCACAUAAUGAAUGAGCGAAUCAUAUACUUCCUUCCCUCAUUUCAUCCAGGCCUCUGUUCCAAUGUGAUCUCCUGAAGGAAGGCUUCCUUGACCACCCUAUCUAAAUUACUGUUUCCAUUACUCUUUAUCCCCUCACUCUGCUUUGGUUUUCUUUAGGCCACUUCAUAACCCUAACUCUAAACUUGCUGUUAAACAUUAUUUAAUUAGUUGUUGAUUGACCCUACUACUAAAAUAUUAGCUCAUUGAUGAUUUGUAGAUAGAUUGCUAUCAAAUAUUUGGGGAAAACUCAAAUGUAAUUUUUUUUUCCCGAGAUGCAGUCUCACUCUGUUGCCCAGAUCUUGGCUCACUGCAACCUCUGCUUCCUGGGUUCAAGCGAUCCUCCUGCCUCAGCCUCCCAAAUAGCUGGGACUACAGGUGCGUGCCACCACACCUGGCUAACUUUUGUAUUUUUAGUAGAGAUGGCCAGCCUGGUCUCGAACUCCUGACUUCGUGAUCUGCCCGCCUCGGCCUGCCAAAGUGCUGGGAUUACAGGCCUGAGCCACUGUGAACCCUUAUUUUAAUUUUACAGUUUGAGAGACACCAAUUCCCAUUACCUACUCAGGACAUUGCUUAAAAACAUGGGAUGUACGCAAACAUGACCAAGGAAUUUUGAAUAUUAAAAGAUUGGAGCAGAAUUGGAAUUUAAAAAAUUAUUUUAUUAUUCUAGUUAGUUUUUUGUUUACUCUCUCCUUGGUGAUUUUUAUGAGACUGAGGCACUACCUACUGGCUAAAAAGGCACCUUGAUUUUUAAAAGAAAAUCAAGAAAAAGAAAAAGAAAAAAAUUUUUUAAGGGAAACCUCUUCUGCUAUUCUAAUAUAUCCGUGUGCCAACAUUUUAUGCUUUUACAAUUAUAGGGUGCAAAGAGUUUUUGUUUGUUUGUUUAGAGACAGGGUAUUCCUAUACUACUAGGCUGGAGUGCAGUGGCACAAUCCUGGCUUACUGCAGCCUCUAACUCUGGGGCUCAAGCGAUCCUCCCACCUCAGCCUCCUGAACGAUGGCUAAGACUACAAACAUGUGCCACCAUGCCCAGCUCAUUUUUUUAUUUUUUGUAGAGAAAAGAUCUUGUUAUGUUGCCCAGGCUAGUCUCGAACUCCUGGGCUCAAGUGAUCCUCUGGCUUUGGCCUCCUAAAACUCUGAGAUUAUAUGUAUGAGUCACCCCCAGCCUGCACAAACAAUUUUGAAUUCUACAUUUUUUUCCACAUGACAUCUUAUUGCAAACAUUUUGGACAUUGCCUAUAGAUGGGAUAACAGUUUUUAAACUUUUUUUUUUUGGAAAAAUUUUAAACUUACAGAAUACUUGUAAUAGUAACUCUUCUUCUAAGCCCUUCUAAAUUCACCAAUUAUUAAUUUGUUGCAUUGCCUCUCUUAAUCUCAUUACUUCUGAACCAUUUGAGAGGAAGUUGCAGGCAUGAUGAUCCUUUACCUCUAAAUACUUCAGCAUGUUCCUCCUAUGAAUAAAGACGUUUUCUUACAGCACCGUAAUACAAAUAAUGAAAUCAUGAAAUAUAAUAGUAGUUUUAUCUAAAAUAAAAACCAUAAAAUCAAUAUUCGUAUUUUGCCAGUUUCUUCACUCAUUUUGACAGAAAUACUACAAAAAUAAUAUUGUAUUCUUCCUGGUGCAUCACAUCAUCGGUAACAUUAGUGGCUUCAGAAUAUUCUGCUGAGUGGAUAUAUCACAGUUCCCUUAAUCAGUUCCAAAUGGUUACAUAUUCAGGUAAUUUCCAGUCUUAUAUUAUUAUAAUGUUCUAAUGCAUACAUUUAUGAGAAAUGUGUUUUCCUAUUUAGAUGAUUUCCUCAGGACAAUUUUUCAUCAAUAGAAUUAGUUUAUAGGAUACAUAGUUUUGACUGUUUAUACAUAAUGGAAUUCAUGUUGCUCUCCAAAAGUGUGGUAUCGGCAUGAGAUGUCACAGCCAACUUAUCAGUGUUGGGUGUUAAAGGAAUUAAAAGAAUGUAUCGUUAAUGAUUCUUGUUGCUAGUUUCAAUAUUUACUUAUUCACAGCCUUUACCUUUGUUCCAUUACCUGUUAUUUUGGAAAUGUUGAAAUCUACAAAAAAUUUGAAACAAUACAACAAACACUUAUAAACCCUUCACCUAGAUUCUCUAGUUGUUAAUCUUUGAAUCAAUAAGGAUUGAUAAGGGCUGGGCGUGGUGGCUCACACCUGUAAUCCCAACACUUUGCGAGGCCGAGGAGGGUGUAUCACUUGAGCUCAGGAGUUUUGAGACUAGCCGGCCAACAUGGAGAAACCUCAUCUCUACUAAAAAUGCAAAAAUUAGCCAAGCAUGGUGGCGUGCACCUGUAGUCCCAGCUAUUCAGGAGACUGAGGCAGGAGAAUCACUUAAACCCAGGAGGCGGAGCUUGCAGUGAGCUGAGAUCGUGCCACUGCACUCCAGCCUGGGCGACAGAGUGAGUCUGUCUCAAAACAAACAAACAAAUAAGGACUGAUAAGAAUACUGAUGUAAUUUUGAAAAGUAUGUAGUAGCCAAGGGGCCUGUCACAUAUGGAAGAGUUAUGGAAAUGGUUAAUGGAACAUGGAGUCUCUAGGUGCAAUAUAGAUGGGCAGCCAAGAAGGGUAUUAUUCAAUUUACACUACGAAAAAAAAAUAAAUAAGUAAAAAUUAGGGCCAGGUGAAGUGACUCAUGCCUGUAAUCCCAGCACUUGUGGGAGGCCAAGGCAGGAGGAUUGCCUGAGCCCACCAACCUGGGCAACACCGUAAGCCCCAGCCUCUAAAAAAAAAUAAACAUAAAAAUAAAUGAUGGAUGAUAAGGAGGCCAUAGGCAGUUGUACCAAUAAAACAUCAAAAUCUCCUGCCAAGUUCCUGGACCUGAGCCAAUUUUUAGACCCAAAAUCCAUUGACUGAAGAAGUUAGGUGCGAGGGAGAAAGGAACCGUGGCAAGCAAUGGGGUUAAUGAUUCCCCAGUUCUUCCCCCAAAAUGAUCUAUGGCUGUUUACUUGUGCAACUGUAUGCUUUGUAAAGGGGAACACCCAAGCAGUUCUAAUACUGCCGGACUCAGGUUUGACUUGACAUUGAUACCCAGAGCCUGAAGUACUAUCCUAGCCUUCCUGUUUAAGUGAGGAUAUACGGGGUUCAGGUAAUACAUGAAAAGCAAAUAAAAAUGGAAGGUCCAAAAUUCCUUAAAUGUCUUUUAAGCAACAUUAAUAGGAGACUAUUAUAUACAGUUGACCCUUGAACAACACGUGUUUGAACUUUGUGGGUACAUUUACACAUGGACUUUUUAAAUAUAAAUAUACUGCAAAUAUUUUUGGAGAUUUAGGACAAUUUGAAAAAUCUCACAAACUGCAUAGCCUAGAAAUAUUGAAAAAAUUAAGAAAAAGGUAUGUCACGAAUGCAUAAAAUAUAUGUGUUAAUAGAUAGAGUAUGUUAUUGGUAAGGCUUCUGGUCAACAGUAGGUUAUGAAUAGUUAAGUUUUGGGGGAGUCAAAAGUUAUAUGUGAAUUUUCAGCUGGGCAUCUCAUACCUAUAAUCCCAGCACUGUGGGAGACCAAGGCGGGUGGAUCACUUGAGGCCAGGAGUUCAAGACCAGCCUGGCCAGCAUGGCGAAACCCUGUCUUUACUAAAAAUACAUUAGCUGGGCAUGGUGUCGUGGACCCGUAAUCCCGGCUACUUGGGAGCCUGAGGCACGAGAAUCGCUUGAACCCGGGAGGCGGAGGUUGCAGUGAGCUGAGAUCAUGCCAGUGCACUCCAGCCUGAGCAACAGAGCAAGACACUGUCUCAAAAAAAAAGUGUUUUAACAUUUAAAAAAAUUAAAUAAAAAAGUUAUAUGUGAAUUUUCAACUGCGUGGGGGGCUGAACACCCCUAAUUCACACAUUGUUUAAGGGUCAACUACUGGGAAACCAACAGAUGUGUCUUCUGUAAUGAAAACCACACAGAAUCUGUAGAAUGUAGUGGUCAACGAUUUUGUAGAUUUGAAAUGAAGAGGGAAUAGCUGUUUUACUCUCUGGGAGAAGACUAUCUGUAAGAGACUUCCAGGCUAAUGAAAUUGGUAAGGUACUGGCCAGGCAUGGUGGCUCACGCCUGUAAUCCCAACACUUUGGGAGGCCGAGGCGGGCAGAUCACGAGGUCAAGAGAUCGAGACUGUAAGAUACAAUGAAUUUCUUUGAACUUCUCUUCAAAGGUUUAGCCUGCUAACUUCCUUGUCCUUUGUUCUCAAACUCAGUUUUCCUGUUCCUCCUUGCCCCUAGUUACUGUAAAACAGCCUACCCCCUUCCUGUCAGCUCUAAUCAAUAACUCACAUCUUUUCCCUUGGUUACCUGCAGCCAUUGUUCCCCCGAAACUGCACGUCUCAAACAGUCUCACAUGCUUUACCACUGUACCUCACGUCCCCCUGCCCUUCCAUAUUUAGAAAAAUAUUUGCAAGUAGCCAAUCGGGUCAGCUCAGAUUGUGCGGUCCGACCCCAGCCCAUCGGGGAGGGACAAAGAGGUAGGGAUUGCAUUAAGGAUAUAAAAAAACCCUGAUGUCCUUUAUUCUCUGUGCUCUUGCGAUCUCGAUUGACACAAGUGGCACCCUUCUUCCGAAGUAAAUUGCCCUGCUGAGACAACUUUUGCCUGAGUGCUGGUUUCACUUUGUGGCACCGAGCAUUUAUUUCCAGAACAUUUUUUUAUCCAACAAGACCAUUCUGGCCAACAUGGUGAAACCCUGUUUCUACUAAAAAUACAAAAAUUAGCUGGGCUUGGUGGUGUGCACCUAUAGUCCGAGCUACUUGGGAGGCUGAGGCAGGAGAAUCGCUUGAACCCAGGAGGCGGAGGUUGCAGUAGGCUGAGAUAGCGUCACUGCACUCCAGCCUGGCAACAGAGCGAGACUCGCCUCAAAAGAGAAGGAAGGAAGGAAGGAAGGAAGGAAGGAAAAGAAAUUGGUGAAAUUGGUACUGACAUGAAAUUACAAAGUGCAUUUUAGUCUAAAUAAAUAAGAAAGAAAAAUAAGGUAUCAGAGGAAUCUGAGACAAGAGAAAGUUGGCUGGAGAUAGUUAAAAUAUUUCUAAGGCCCAGUCUCUUGAGAUAGACCUGUAGCCAAUAAUUUACAUAAUAAUAACAAAAAUGACAAGGGAGUGAGUAAACAAGUAGUUCACAGAGCUAAAAGCAAGGCAUGAUGCAAGGUGUGAAUGGAAUUAGUAAGUAAAAUGUGUUGCCUGGGUAUGUAGAAUUUGAUAUUUGUUUUAACAAAUUUAAAAACUGUCAGCUGCUACUUUAAGUGGAGACAGAAUUUCCCUUUAGCACAUUUUUAUUCUGAGAAGAAUCACAGUAGUGGCUGCUUUUAGUUAUGUAAAUGUAUGGGCAAAAGCAUAAUUGCAAACUAGGGCUGCUGGUAGACUGCUCCACUUCUCUAAUUCUCUCUUCAGCAGCCAAGUAGCUUGGUAUUAGGAUAGUCCUCUUGGACUAGUAAGUUUCUAGGCUUUUUAAUUAAUUCAGAGGGAAAUGCGACAACAGAAACUACUUCCCCAAUAAUGAGUGGAAAGUACCAAAAUUAAAUAAAUAUAACUGAGGUGUAAUUUUAGGGAAGAACAAUUGGAUUGUGAUUUCAACCAAGGAAUGUAAAACUAUGUGGUUGCAAUAUAUUCUGCCUGAACUAAAAAAGUGCUUUAGCAGAGGAAAGGAAAUUGGUAGUAGUCUCCCUGUCAUGUUGAAAAGGAAAGUCCAGAAAGAUUUGGCUGUGUGUUGCCUGCACUACUCGGGGCCCUAGAAUACAAAUAUGGUAGCUGACUCAUGGGGUAAGUAUCUCCCUAUGUCAGACUAGGAAAGUUAGUGACACUUAUCAUUAUUGAAUAGGUUAUAAAACUCAAGAACAGGACAGGUGUGGUGGUUCAUGCCUGUAAUCUCAGCACUCUGGCAGGCCAAGGGAGGAAGAUGACUUGAGCCCAGGGGUUUGAUACUAGCCUGGGCAACAUAAUUUUAAAAAAUAAAUUAAUUUUUAACAAUAAAAUAAAUAAAAUACAUAACCUCAAGGACAACCUUAUAAAAUUAAUCCUGAUAAUUGCUCCUAGAUGAAUGCUGAUGAAGGUAAGUGAAUUCUAAAAACAGUACUAAUCUCCCUUCUACCUCACCAAAUAUGUUUCUUUUCCUGAAUUCUUUAUCCUGGUUAAUUAUAAAAUCAUCUUCCAGUCACUCCUUUCCUAAAAUCUUGUCAUCAUCUCUCCAAUGAUGGUCACUCUUUCAUCCUCCACAUCCAGUAAAUCAGCAAGGUUUAGCAAUUAUUAUUAUUAUUAUUUUUCAAGACGGAGUCUCCCUCUGUUGCCCAGGCUGGAGUGCAGUGGCUCAAUCUUGGCUCACUGCAACCUCCGCCUCUUGGGUUAAAGUGGUUAUUGUGCCUCAGCCUCCCUAAUAGCUAGGACUACAGGCGCGCCCCACCAUGCCGGCUAAUUUUUGUAUUUUUAUUAGAGACAGGGUUUCACCAUGUUGCCCAGGAUGGUCUUGAACUCCUGACCUCGAAUGAUCCACCUGCUUCAGCCUCCCAAAGUGCUGGGAUUACAGAUGUGAGCCACCAUGCCUGGCCAUAUUUUUAUGUUCUCAAGUAUUCCCUCUCCUCUUCAUUCUCACUGUCUUAGUGUAGUGGACAUCUAUAUAUCUAUAGUUCAGCUUUCUUUUUGUAAUACUUGCAAUUCUGAUCUUUUGGGGACCUAUUCCUUCUCACUCUAACCAUGUGGUUCUACUGGGACUUGCCUCAUGGUUCCCCUUACACCAUUAUUGGAGGCACAUGACCUGGGUGGAAAAUUAGAAGGAGUCAUAACUGAAAGGGUGAAUGCAGACACUUCACUUUAUACAAGUCAAGGUUAUCGUAGUGGUCAUGGUGGAUGACUUCUCAACAAGAGUCUCUCACAAUGAUUAGUCUAAGUCAGAAGUCACCAUACUGUGGACAUUUAGGGUCAGAUAAUUCUUAGUUGUGGAAGUUGUUUUAUGUAUUGUGAGAUGUUUAGCAGUAUCCCUGGCUUCUAUCCUUUAGAUGCCAGUGCACCCUUUCUCUAAGGUGUGACAACUAAAAAUACUCCAGAUAUUGCCAAGUGACUCCUAGACAGUGAAAUCAUCUCAGGUUGAGAACUACUGGCCUAAACUAUUUGUGGCAAUCCUAUUGCUUAUUUCAUUGGUCUCCAAAAACAGGCCAAUGUAAGGUGUAAAAGUUUUGUCCACUAGAGGGCUUCUGGGAAGGUUUCCACAAUCCUGAGAAAGUCGACUGGAAUUAAGAGCAUUUUCUUGAGAGAAGUUGUUUUUAUGUGAAUACUUAAACUGGCUGCAGUCAACAUGGAGGGGGAAAUGGAGAAAUAAGGAAUGUAAAGUAGGAGAUAGAAUAAAUUUUACUCCUUAACUGUUGAGCCGAUGACUUCUCUGCAUGAGCCUAAAACAAUCUUAUCUCUGUACUACCACUUAUUUUUGAGUAUAUAUGUAUGUACUAAAAAAAAAAAAAAAACAGCUCAAAUGGGAGUGUACUGUACAUGCUUUGUGUUACUUCUUUUUACAUAUUUGUAGGUGAUGCUUUCAUAUAAGUAUAUAGAAAGCUGCCUAAUUCUUUUCAUUGACUGCAAAUUAUUUCAUUUCAUAGAUAAGGAAUAAUUCAUCUAACCAGUAUCUUGGAGUCUUUUAUGUGUGUUUUUUUUUAAAAAAAAAACAAAAACAAAAACAUUUUUUCUAAUGCAAAGAAUGGUUCCAUAACUUUCCAUUAUACACAAGUCAUUGGAAUAGACUUGAGAAGAGGAAUUAUUAAGACGGACGCCAUGGCUCAUGCCUGUAAUCCUGACACUUUAGGAGCCCGAGGAAGUGGAUCACUUGAGCUCAGGAGUUUGAGACCAGCCUGGCCUACGUGGUGAAACCCCGUCUCUACUAAAAACACAAGAAAAUUAGCUGGGCGUGAUGGCACACACCUGUAAUCCCAGCUACUCAGGAGGCUGAGGCAGGAGAAUCACUUGAACCCAGGAGGAGGAGAUUGCAGUGAGCCAAGAUCAUGCCACUGCACUCCAGCCUGGGUGACAGAGUGAGACUCUGUCUCAAAAAAAAAAAAAAAGACAAAUUAUUAGGUGUGCAUGUGUGAUUUUCAUAGAUAUUAUAAAAUAUCCUGGGAAGAGAUUGAAUUAACAUUCUCAUUAUCAACAUAUGGUAGCCUCAUACUCUGAUUAAUAAAUUAUCAAACUUUGAGACGUAGUCUCGCUCUGCCACCCAGGCUGCAGUGCAGUGGCGCGAUUUCGGCUCACUGCAACCUUCACCUCCCGGGUUCAAGCGAUUCUCCUGUCUCAGCCUCCCAAGUAGCUGGGAUUAUAGGCAUGGGCCGCCAUGCCCGGCUAAUUUUUGUAUUUUUAGUAGAGAUGGGGUUUCACUAUGUUGGCCAGGCUGGUUUCCAACUGACCUCAGGCGAUCUGCCUGCCUCAGCCUCCCAAAGUGCUGAGAUUACAGGCUUGAGCCGCUGCACCCAGCCAGUUAUCAAACUUUUUGUGCUUUGGUAAUUUCAUGAAAUACUAUAUGCAAUGUAAUUUCAGUUUAUAUAAUAAAACUUGUCAGAAUGAAAAUGGAAUCAUUUGUGUAAAACCCUGGCAAAUGGAAGGCCUUGAAAGGAGGGUUGUCACGCAUGUAUGCCUAAUAACAAGAACUAUCACAAAAGAUAGCAAAAAACAUGACCUUACACAGAGGCUACUUCAACCUCAUACAAAAAAUACUUCUGUGAAAAAUAAAAAUACUUCUGUGAGCACAUGUGCUGAGCAACUGCCUGUCCAACCUUGGACUGACACCAUCCUCGUUAUUGGUCUCUGUAGGCAAAGAUAAUUGUUUCAAAAUAGUUAUGUAAUCCCCCUCAUUUUUCACUGAAAAACCCUUUUACCUCCCAGAACAUGCUCCCUGUAUUCCCAUUGCAAGGCUCAAUCCCCAAAACUAUCAUUUUCUUUUAUAGAGUCUCUCUCUGCCUGUUAUUUAGGUUGACAUAAUCUGGUGUCAAGAAGUGGGACCAAAGUGAGCUCACCUUGAUGGAUCGGUGACUCCUGGAAUCACAUGAAGUUCCCACAUUGAGCCCCUUUGAGCUCUCCAAUCCUACAGCUCACCUUUUCUGUCAUGGUGAAUCUCCUCUCAGGUUCUUGAACUCCCUCAUUUUGGUGAGUUCUUUUGACUUUCUUUGGGAUUUGUUUUGGAUAAUGGCUGCCUUAAUAAAGGACCUUGUAUCUCUCUUGAGACUAGAAAAUACAUUUUUUCUGACAAAUCCUUUCUGGUACAAAGAUAUUUUAUCUUUCUGGAGAGUAUACACUUCUGAUUUCUAUAAAAUUUACCUCAUGUAUUUUCUGGUGAGUUCUUUUUUUUUUCUUUUUGCAUGCCUUCGCAGCCAUUAUACAAUUCAGUGAGUCCUAGCUGAAAUGUAAAAACACCUGAGAAACUAACCACUAAAUUUGAGGCUUUAAAAAAAAAAGGUAAGAGAGUUUUUUUCUUUUUACCAACUGCUAUAGGGAUGUAACUCAGAUCCAACCAGUGAAUUUAUGUUACUAUAUUUUACAGUCUCAUGAAUACAUAUAAAAGUGAAAGCUAUAAGAUCUUUGUUAACAUAUGUGUUUAUGUAUGUUAUAUGUUGUGUAUACAUGGCAAAAUCUGGCAUAAUUGACCAGAAAUCCCUUAAGGAAGCCUAUUUAGAUUGGCUUAGAGAGAAAUGGGUACUCAUGUAAAAUUAUAUCUAAAACUGUUGAAAUAUAUAGUAAUUAACCCAAAUGCCUUUUUGUUUAUGUGACUUAAGUGAAUCUUUGAUAAAUAAGCUGGUUUUAAAUUUAUCAGUAAAAUAGAAAUGUUUUUAGAAUUGUCAGCAUACAUUCUUGCCUGCACUUAUUGUUCAGACAAUUUUUAUAUUUGUUCUAGCUGUUUUAAAGUGUCAGGAUUCGACACACAGGUCAUAAAACUAUAAUUCCAGCCUUAAAAGCAAAAUGAUCUUUGAUGGUUAAUACUGAGUGCCAAUUUGAUUGGAUUGAAGGAUACAAAGUAUUGAUCCUGGGUGUGUCUGUGAGGGUGUUGCCAAAAGAGGUUAACAUUUGAGUCAGUGGGCUUAGGGAAGGCAGAUCCACCCUUAAUCUGCUGGGCACCAUCUAAUCAGCUGCAGCUAAUAUAAAGCAGGCAGAAAAACAUGAAAAGGAGAGACUGGCCUAGCUUCCCAGCCUACGUCUUUCUCUCAUGCUGGAUGCUUCUUGUCCUUGAACAUUGGACUCCAGGUUCUUCAGUUUUGAGACCUGGACUGGGUUUCCUUGCUCCUCAAGUUUGCAGACAGCCUAUUGUUGGACCUUGUGAUCAUGUAAGUUAAUACUUAAUAAACUCCCCUAUAUAUCUAUAAACAUAUAUAUAUAUGUAUGUAUGUUACGUAUGUAUGUAUGUAUGUAUGUAUCCUAUUACUCUGUCCCUCUAGGGAACCCUGACUGAUACAGUUUAUGUCACUUUUUUUUUUUUUGAGAUGGAGUUUUGCUCUUGUCCAGGCUGGAGUGCAAUGGCACGAUCUCUGCUCACUGCAACCUUUGUCUCCCAGGUUCAAGUGAUUCUCCUGCCUCAGCUUCCUGAGUAACUGGGAUUACAGGCAAGCGCCACCAUGCCUGGCUAAUUUUGUAUUUUUAGUAGAGACAGGGUUUCACCAUGUUGAUCGGACUGGUCUCGAACUCCCAACCUCAGGUAAUCUUCCCACCUCAGCCUCCCAAAGUGCUGGGAUUACAGGCAUGAGCCACCACACCCGGCCUACUUUUUUUUUUUUUUAAGGCAGGAUCUUGCUCUGUUUCCCAGUCUGGAGUGCAGUGACACGAUCAUGACUCACUGCAGCCUCAACCUCUCAGACUCAAGCAAUCCUCUCACCUCAGCCUCCCAAAUAGAUGGGACUUUUUUUUUCUUUUUAAUUUUUUUAUAGAGAUAGGGUUUCACUAUGUUGCCCAGGCUACUCUCAACCUCCUGGGCUCAAGUGAUCCUCCCACCUUAGCCUCCCAAAGUGUCAGGAUUACAGGCAUGAACCAUCCUGCCCAGCCUAUUUUUGUGCAACUUUUUGAUGAAUAAGACUAGUUUAAUAUUGUUACUUUAGUGAAAACAGCUGUAUCUUCUAAGUAAUCAAUAAAAUAUCCAUGUACUUUAAGGUUCUUAAUGUGAACAUCUAACAUUCACAUGCUGUAAAAAUGGCUAACAGAAAGGUAACUUGAAAUAAUGAUUAGCUCUGUGUAAUAUCUGUUUUCAUAAGUAAUCUAGGUAUAAUGGUUAAAAAAUAAAUUAGGUAAAUGAAAAGGGAAUAAGUAUGUAUAAAUGAACUUUUCAUAUGAUUUGAGAUCUUAAAGUUAUGUUAAAUAAGUAAUAGUUAUUCAUUAAAUGUCUGGGUCAUAGCCAAAUAAGAUAAAAUAUGAAAACAUUAAUUACUGAACAUAGAUUCAAAUUAAUUUACUUUUGGCUUUUUUUUUUUCUUUUUUGAGACAAAGUUUCACUCUUGUCCCCCAGGCUGGAGUGCAAUGGCACAAUCUCGGCUCACUGCAACCUCCCCCUUACAGGUUCAAGCAAUUCUGCCUCAGCCUCCCAAGAAGCUGGGAUUACAGGCGCCUGCCACCACACCCAGCUAAUUUUUGUAUUUUUAGUAGACAGGGUUUCACCAUGUUGGCCAGGCUGGUCUCGAACUCCUGACCUCAGGUGAUCUGCCCGCCUUGGCCUCCCAAAGUGCUGAGAUUACAGGCAUGAGCACCAUGCCCGGCCUUCUUUUUUUUUUUUUUAGGCAGGGUCUCACUCUCACCCAGGCUGGAAUGCAUGAUCACAGCUCACUGCAACCUCUACCUCCCAGGCUUGAGCAGAUCCUCCCAGCUUAGCCUCCCCAGUAGCUAGGUCUACAGGUGUGAACCACCAUGCCCAGCUAAUUUUUUGAUUUUUUUUUUUUUUUUUUUUUUUUUUGAGCCAGAGUUGCGCUCUUGUUACCUGGGCUGGAGUGUAAUGGCGCAAUCUCAGCUAACUGCAUUCUUCGCCUCCCAGGUUCAAGCGAUUCUCCUGCCUCAGCCUCCCGAGAUUCUCCUGCCUCAGCCUCCCGAGUAGCUGGAAUUACAGGCAUGCGCCACCAUGCCCAGCCUUUGAUUUUUUUUUUUUAAGAGAUGGGGUCUCUGUAUGUUGCCCAGGCUUGUCUUGAACUCCUGGGCUCAAGCGGUCCUCUCACCUCAGCCUCCCCAAGUGCUAGGAUUACAGGCAGGAGACACCACACCUGGCCUACUUUUGGCUUCUUAAGUUUUAAAGAAAGAGAAAAGCUAUUUGGGCUUAUUAAUAAAUACGUUCUGUUUCACAUUGGAAAAUUGUUCUAUGAGAAAGCACAUGUUUCUAGAGAUUAUGAAAUACAUAUUCAUAGGAGGUUGAUGUAUGUCAGAUAGUUCAGAGUUUGCUUGCUUCCUGGGCUUUCACUAGAAAUUAGGGUUACUGAGAGUUAAAAAUUCUAAUUAAUGUAUGUGAUUCUGCAUGCAAGAUAUAUAAGAAAUUGUGUUUUUGAUGAGAAAAACUUUGAAGAUGAGAAUUUUUUUAAAGAAAAGAAUAGUUUUGUCUAAAUUCAGAGGUUAUUUAAGGUUAUUUUAAAAGUAAAUUUAGAAAGAAGAUAGCAGCAAGACAGAAAGGAACCAGUAGGAAGAAGAGAGGCUUGCAUAGAAAGUUAUAGGUAUGAAGAUGUAUUUUUGGAAAGGGAGGUUAAAAAGAGAAGAGGUUUUUUUUUUUGGUAUGAGAGAGAAUCUCAAGUGGUCAAAAUCAAAAGAAAAAAAGUAAAUUGUGUCCUAAAGUAAAAUGACUGGUUGUUAAAGAAAGAGCAACUAUAAAUAGGACAAAACCAAAAGUCUGGGCAGGUCACAGACAGUCUGAGCUAGUUGUAAAAGGUUUGUGAAAGAUGACUCUUACGAAAGAAAUUUUGUGUGUGAUAAAGUUGGCUAAAAU